GUCAUUGUGGUGGAAUUGGUAGUCACAAUAUACUUAAAAUGUAUUGCCGAGAGGCGUAUAAGUUCGAGUCUUAUCAAUGACA